UAAAGAAAAGUAAUGAUUACACAUACCGAUGAUAACUUCUCUAAGUAUAGAGACAUAAAACACAGCUCAGGGACAAAUCUAGUUUGUCCUGUCUUGGUAGGCCCCAUCAGCUAAGAGUCCAGUGUCGAACAUUCUGGAACAAUUGGCCACUCUUGACGGCUGUGCCUCGUUCUGUACAUGAGUUUCUGUUGCCGGCACUGCCUAAUUGUUGACAUUUGUUGUCCAUGGUGUCUUUGAGUAGUGGAGGCUCCCACUGUGACCUGGAAGGAUGCGGCAGCUCCUGGCACCAGAGACGGAGCUGAUAGUCCUAUACCUUGAUCCUCAGCCAGCCGAAAGAGAGACUGAGUCACAGUGGACAGAGCUUGAGCAUGAGAUCUCAAAGCCCACCCCUACAGUGACGCACUUCCUCCAACAAGGCCACACCUCCUAACAGCGCCACUCCCUAUGGCCGAGCGUCUACAGCGGCCAUGCCUAUUCAAACCACCACAGCGACCAUCAUUGCAUGCUGUGUUCUGGUUCCAAACCUGCCUUCUCUACUAACAGACCAGGGCGCCCACACUCACUGUAUAGAACUUCCUAGAAAGAACCCAGCAUGCCUUAUGCCACAAAGGGAGAUCUGUCCGUCUGUCCCUGCAAUGCUCGGAAAACACCCCCCAGAAUGAACCAAGAAAGCACUGCUGUUGGCUAUCCGUUGAUGUUGGUGGCUUCCAGGGCUGUGCGUAUCUGAGGCAAGUGCUCAGACACUAAGUUACACCCCCAACCCUCUUUAUUUGAGGCAGGAUCUCAUUAAAUGGCCCACAUAGACCUUGAA